UAAUAAUUAAGUCUGCUCGACUUUUUAAAAUCUUAUAUGAUUUGAGUUCAAAUCGACGUGAGUCAGAUUCGUUUCUAUCUAUAAAAAUAUUUAAAUUAUUUGUACGAAAGGACUUCAAUUUACCAACU